rnacentral:lncRNA from 1 species
AAAUAUUAAAAAGUAACUUAUUCUACAUAAUAGAUAUCUCGUCUUAUAGCCUUAGGGGUUAUUUAUCAAUGAAGUGUUAUUAUGACAUUUUGCACAAGGAUAUUUGCUUCUAAAUAGUUGAUAUAAAAAUUAUAACUAUGUGGCUAUUAAUUUGCCUUUUUUUUUUGGUGAUCGAAUAUUAAUUUACUUCAAUUCAAUCUCCAAUAUUCACAUGAUUCCUUAGCAACUUAGGAGAGUGGUGCUCUAUUCCUAAGCAUCACUUGUACCUAUUUCCUCACUAGAUGAAUAUCUUUCCAUAAGUAAUUUAUAAGAUAAAACUCAAAAAUUCAUAAUAAUCUACAACUCAACUAAAUGUAUUUCCUAAAAAUGUAGGACGUACAAUGAAAUAUGUGCAUUUGCAAUAAAAACGAGUAGAUUCCCCCCCCCC